ensembl:lncRNA
GGCAGGCUGGCUCAGGGUCAAGGCAGGCAGGGGUCAGUAACCAGAGGUGGGGCAACGUUACCGGGCGGCAGGCAGGCAGGGGUCAGUAACCAGAGGUGGGGCAACGGUACCGGGCGGCAGGCAGGGUCAAGGCAGGCAGGGGUCAGUAACCAGAGGUGGGGCAACGGUACCGGGUCGGCAGGCAGGCAGGCAGGCAGGCUCAGGGUCAGGGUAAGGCAGGAGUCAGUAACCAGAGGCGGGGCAACGGUACCGGGCGGCAGGCAGGCUCAGGGUCAGGGUAAGGCAGGGGUCAGUAACCAGAGGUGGAGCAACGGUACCAGACGGCAGGCAGGCAGGCUCAGGGUCAGGGUAAGGCAGGGUUCAGUAACCAGAGGUGGGGCAAUGGUACCGGGCGGCAGGCAGGCUCAGGGUCAGGGUAAGGCAGGGGUCAGUAACCAGAGGCGGGGCAACGGUACCGGGCGGCAGGCAGGGUCAGGGUAAGGCAGGG